rnacentral:rRNA from 1 species
UGAAAAUGCCCUUUUAACCACUUUUGGUACUAAGGAGCUGGUAUCAAGCACACUACACAGUAGCUCAUAACACCUUGCACAGCCACACCCCCACGGGAAACAGCAGUAACAAAAAUUAAGCAAUAAACGAAAGUUCGACUAAGUUAUGCUAAUUAGGGCUGGUCAACUUCGUGCCAGCCACCGCGGUCAUACGAACAGCCCAAAUUAAUAGAACCCGGCGUAAAGAGUGGUUAUGACGUUUAUACACUAAAGUUAAACUUAACCUCAGCUGUAGAAAGCUAAAGGCCUAAAAUUAAAUACUCUACGAAAGUGACUUUAACAAAUCAGAAUCCACGAUAGCUAAGACACAAACUGGGAUUAGAUACCCCACUAUGCCUAGCCUUAAACCUAGUUAAUUAGUAACAAAAUUACUCGCCAGAGAACUACGAGCAAAAGCUUAAAACUCAAAGGACUUGGCGGUGCUUUAUAUCCACCUAGAGGAGCCUGUUGUUUAAUCGAUAAACCCCGCUAAACCCUACCAUCAUUUGCUAAUCCAGUCUAUAUACCGCCAUCUUCAGCAAACCCUUAAAAGGAAUCAAAGUAAGCUUAAUUAUACUUAAUAAAAACGUUAGGUCAAGGUGUAAUUUAAAUGAUGGAAACUAAUGGGCUACAUUCUCUUAAAAAGAGUA